rnacentral:rRNA from 1 species
UACGAAGGGGGCUAGCGUUGCUCGGAAUCACUGGGCGUAAAGCGCACGUAGGCGGCUUUCUAAGUCAGGGGUGAAAUCCUGGAGCUCAACUCCAGAACUGCCUUUGAUACUGGAGAGCUUGAGUCCGGAAGAGGUGAGUGGAACUCCGAGUGUAGAGGUGAAAUUCGUAGAUAUUCGGAAAGAACACCAGUGGCGAAGGCGGCUCACUGGUCCGGUACUGACGCUGAGGUGCGAAAGCGUGGGGGAGCAAACAGGGAUUAAGAAACCCU